rnacentral:lncRNA from 1 species
UGAACACGAGGGACGUGGGGGCCACUGCAGAGUACCAUCUUCACUGCCGUCUAAUAGCUACACCCUGAGCUGUACGAGGCAGCCCUGCUAAACCUGUACGGCAGGUGGAACAUGACGUGUACCCAGCGGAGCUUCUCUUUGCCUCGUCUCCAUUCUGCCAGGUAGAUAAUUCACCCACCGUGCAUCAGGCUCGCGCUUGGCACUGGGGAGAGAGAAGCAAUGAAAACACGGUUCUUGCUGUCCAGACACUUCCAUUCUAACAAGAGGGACAUGCACGGGCAAACAUGAUUGCAAUGAGGGUACGAGGCAUGUGCUAUUAGACGUGUGUCGAGGGAACAGAAACGGUACAGAGGAGUGCUGAGUCCUGAGCGGGUCAAGGAAGACCUUCAGAGAUGCUGAUACACAAAUCAAGUUUUGAAGGAUGCAGAGGAGUUCAGAAGUGAAAACGGAAAGGAUGGCAAAGGGAAGAGCACGUGCAAAGGCCCAGAAGCAUACAGAGAAGGACCUCCGGCCCUUCAAGGAAUGUGCCUAGUGGCUCGCUACGUCCCCAGCCCAGCUCAGAAGCACAGGAAGAGUCACAGCUCCUCUCUCCAGCUCCAGGCUUGUACCUCCAAGGGUCUCUGACCCUCUUGGGUCAGAACUUCUCCUAAUUCUGGCCUCCACGCCCCUGGCCCCAAUGACAUGUGAUGGGUAUGCCUUCCUGACUUUGAUUUUCUAGGUGCUUCUGGGCAUGAUCUGCUCUGUGACCUGCAAUUAUGAGAGACACUCCCCCCCCACCCCACCAUGCUCUGGCCAAGAGGCCAGCCCAGCCCAGCCUCCCCAACAGGGACCAGACACAUAGAAGGAUCUGCAAGUUGUCUGAUGGAGCCAGAGUCAAAACGGUAGAUGGCCAGAUGUCAUCCAAUAAAUCCCGUCCAGGGCAUUGUUUGGUCUGUGCUUUCUACGUAUCUCAUUUUAAAAACAAACCCCAAAAGAUUCUGUGAAGUCAUGUUAAAAAAAAAAAUCCAAAGGUCCACUUUCAUCCCCCGUUUGUUUGGUUGCCAGAGGGCCACGCCCCCACAGUGACAUCCUUAGGGAAGGACUA